rnacentral:lncRNA from 1 species
UAGGAAAAUGUGCACAUUAAUAAAACUAUAAUACAUUUCUUCCCACUUCAAGCUUAUAUUUAUGAAUUUGCCUAAAAAAAAAAUGCUCUCCCUUACAUAUGAAACACAAUGUACUACGUGACAAAUAGGAAGUUAAAAUAUAUGUACAACCUUGAAAACAUAGCUAGGGAAACAGGGAGGCAGAGAGGCCACAUAUUGCAGGAUUCCAUUGCUACGAAGUCUCCAGAAUAGGCCAACCCACAAAGACAGAAAAUACAUUGCUGGCUGCCAGAGGUUGCUGGGAAAGGAGGGGGGACUACUGCUAAUGGAUAUCGGGUUUCUCUUUGAGAGUGAUGAAAAAGUUCCAGAAAUGUACUAAGUGGCCGGGCACACUGGCUCACGCCUGUAAUCCCAGCACUUGGGGAAGUCAAGGUGGGCAGAUCACAUGAAGUCAGGAGUUUGAGACCAGCCUGGCCAACAUGGCAAAACCCGUCU